UACGUAGGUGGCGAGCGUUAUCCGGAUUUACUGGGUGUAAAGGGCGCGUAGGCGGGGGCGCAAGUCAGGUGUGAAAUCUAUGGGCUUAACACAUAAACUGCACUUGAAACUGCAUCUCUUGAGUGCUGGAGAGGUAGACGGAAUUCCUUGUGUAGCGGUGAAAUGCGUAGAUAUAAGGAAGAACACCAGUGGCGAAGGCGGUCUACUGGACAGUAACUGACGCUUAGGCGCGAAAGCUAGGGGAGCGAAC
rnacentral:rRNA from 1 species